rnacentral:rRNA from 1 species
GUGCACCAGUCGCGAAACUUUACAAUGUGCGAAAGCACGAUAAGGGAACUCUGAGUGCCUCCUAAGGAGGCUGUUCAGGUGUCUAAAAGCACCUGAAGGAAGGGCUGGGUAAGACCGGUGCCAGCCGCCGCGGUAACACCGGCAGCCCAAGUGGUAGCCACGUUUAUUGGGUCUAAAGCGUCCGUAGCCGGCUGGGUAAGUUCCUUGGGAAAUUUGGCUGCUUAACAGUCAAGCUUUCAGGGAAUACUGCCCGGCUUGGGACCGGGAGAGGUCAGAGGUACUCCAGGGGUAGGGGUGAAAUCCAUUAAUCCUUGGGGGACCACCGGUAGCGAAGGCGUCUGACCAGACCGGGUCCGACGGUGAGGGACGAAGGCUAGGGGCGCGAACCGGAUUAGAUACCCGGGUAGU